UACAGAGGCCUCAAGCGUUGUCCGGAUUCAUUGGGCGUAAAGAGCGUGUAGGCGGCCUGAUAAGUCGGCUGUGAAAGUCAAGGGCUCAACCCUUGAAUGCCGGCCGAUACUGUCAGGCUAGAGUCCGGAAGAGGCGAGUGGAAUUCCUGGUGUAGCGGUGAAAUGCGCAGAUAUCGGGAGGAACACCUAUGGCGAAGGCAGCUCGCUGGGACGUUACUGACGCUGAGACGCGAAAGCGUGGGGAGCGAACAGG
rnacentral:rRNA from 1 species